rnacentral:lncRNA from 1 species
UAGAGCAAAGAUGGGCCCUGGAAGAGGAACUGCAAAGAGUACCUUGCAGAGAGGGCGGAAUCGAAGCUUGGAGAAGCUUUAGGUACAUUCAUAAUCAAUCUCCAUUUGUCAGAAUCUUAUGAUAACACAUGGCUAUUGGAUACCAAUAGUGCUUAUCACAUCUGUAAUUCAUUGCAGAUUUUGGCAAGAUUUAGGAGAUUGGUG